UUUUAUUAAUGGAAAGAUCAUAGAAAAGGAACAUGGCAUUUAGGUGAGGAUCUAUAGUUAAAAUUACUCAGCCUUGUGGUUCUGCCACAUUUUAUAUUUACUCAUCUAAGAAAUGUACUAUAGAAUGUUAGUUUAUAAUAAGCAGACAAUAUGUCAUAACGCUUUCUGUGCAUCAAUGUAAUUUUCAAAUCCAGUUCUCACCAUGAAGAAAAGACAACUAAAAUGACACAAAGUAGAGGUCAGACAGUGGAAUUAAAUCUACGGGAUAGUGAAAUCCAUGGCCCUUUUCUUUCUUCCAAAUUUUUAGCAGAUACUGCAUAUCCUUUUCCCAGGAUAUUCCUGGCCUUUUUUUGCCCAGGAAACAAAGCUGGUUCUAAAAAUUAAAAGUUUCAUAUGUUACCAUUGUCCUUGAAUUCUUAGGUAAGAUGGCUGCCAGAAAGAAGGCCCAGCUUGCAAAUGAGAAAGCUCCUGAAGAAACAGCUGCUGCCACUACUCUGGAUAUUUCCCCAGCUUUGAAUGCAAGCAGCCCUGGAGAUAAUCCCCUGCCCUAGAAGCCUCUCCUGAACACAGAUUCUGGGAUGAAUUUGCAAGCUUCUAUAAACCUACUAGCCAUCUCCUUCUAUUACAAAUGGAAGCUUCAGUAUCUUUUUACUGUCCCUGAAUUGCUGCUUUAUGGUCCAGCUUCAAUAAGUAAAUGAGGAGCAGGAAGAUUUUUUAUUAUGGAACAAGAUGGAAGACUAGAAAGACUGUGAAAGCUGCCUCUUUGUUGAAGUGUGCGUCCUCUCUCUUACUGGGCCAUCAACAAAGGGAACUAUCCUGCUUAAGUCUGUGCUGAAAUAUCUACAUUCCUCUACUGUGUCAGAUGUGCUGUUGUUGUUAUAUUUGGGAAAGUUGUCAAUUAAACACACUGGGAGAAAAGAUAGAUUAAUAAUUCUAUUUUCUAAUUCUAAUAAUAGGAACAUUUAAUAAUUCCUACUGAGUGUUAUCUGGCUAUGUUUUCUCGUCCAAUAGUGCUAAUACUUUGUAACUGAUAUAUUUACAUGACAUGUCCUAUCCAACAAAUAAACUCUUUUAGAUCUUAA